rnacentral:rRNA from 1 species
AUUGAACGCUGGCGGCAGGCCUAACACAUGCAAGUCGAACGAGUGGCGGACGGGUGAGUAAUGUCUGGGAAACUGCCUGAUGGAGGGGGAUAACUACUGGAAACGGUAGCUAAUACCGCAUACCAUCGGAUGUGCCCAGAUGGGAUGAGCUAGUAGGUGGGGUAACGGCUCACCUAGGCGACGAUCCCUAGCUGGUCUGAGAGGAUGACCAGCCACACUGGAACUGAGACACGGUCCAGCCUACUACGGGAGGCAGCAGGGGGGAAUAUUGCACAAUGGGUGCAAGCCUUAUGCAGCCAUGCCGGGGGUAUGAAGAAGGCCUUCUGGUUGUAAAGUACUUUCAGCGGGGAGGCGUUACCCGCAGAAGAAGCACCGGCUAACUCCGUGCCAGCAGCCGCGGUAAUAC